AGCUAAUACUUGCUUUAGCACUCUUGAUUUAUUUCUUGAGUGUGUACUUGUUAAGCCUUAUAAGAAAAGAGUUAUUAACUUAAGGAAUUAUAACAAAGAAGUAACACGUAAUGGAUCAUUCCAUUUUUAGUGUGUAUCAAUCGAGUUUCUGACCUAUCAGCUUUUGAUGUUAGGGUAUUGGCCUAACAUGGCUAUGACGGGUAACGGGGAAUUAGAGUUCGAUUCCGGAGAGGGAGCCUGAGAAAUAGCUACCACAUCUAAGGAAGGCAGCAGGCGCGUAAAUUACCCAAUUCUAAAGAAGAGAGGUAGUGACAAGAAAUAACAAUACAAGGCCAAUCUGGCUUUGUAAUUGGAAUGAUGGGAAUUUAAAACCUUCCCAAAAUUCAAUUGGAGGGCAAGUCUGGUGUCAGCAGCCGCGGUAAUUCCAGCUCCAAUAGCGUAUAUUAAAAUUGUUGCAGUUAAAACGCUCGUAGUUGAAUUUCAAAGAAUCGAUAUUUUAAGUAACGCUUCUAGCUACAAAUCCACAUAACUGAUGCCUCCGCGUAUCGACUUUGUGCGCAUUUUAGCUAUUAUGUGUUCUUUUAAUUAAAAUGAUUCUUUUUAAGAUUCAUCUAUUAAAAAUUUGCUUCGGCAUAAUUUUUUUUGAUGAUCUUGUUACUUUGAGUAAAUUAGAGUGUUCAAAGCAAACAGAUAUAGCAUUUGUGCGUUUGAAUACUACAGCAUGGAAUAACAAAAUUGAACAAGUCAGAAUUUUUUUGUUCUUUUUUCUUAUUUUGGCUUAGUUACGAUUAAUAGGAGUAGCUUGGGGGCAUUUGUAUUCAGAUGUCAGAGGUGAAAUUCUUAGAUUUUCUGGAGACAAACAACUGCGAAAGCAUUUGCCUAAAAUACUUCCAUUAAUCAAGAACGAAAGUUAAGGGAGUGAAGACGAUCAGAUACCGUCGUAAUCUUAACCAUAAACUAUGCCGACUAGGCUUUGGAUGAAAGAUCUUAAAAUAAGAGUUUU
rnacentral:rRNA from 1 species